UACAGAGGUCUCAAGCGUUGUUCGGAUUCAUUGGGCGUAAAGGGUGCGUAGGUGGCGGGGUUAGUCAGGUGUGAAAUCUCGGGGCUCAACCCCGAAACUGCACUUGAUACUGCCUUGCUCGAGUACUGGAGAGGAGAUUGGAAUUUACGGUGUAGCAGUGAAAUGCGUAGAUAUCGUAAGGAAGACCAGUGGCGAAGGCGAAUCUCUGGACAGUUACUGACACUGAGGCACGAAGGCCAGGGGAGCAAACGGG
rnacentral:rRNA from 1 species